GGGCCUGUGGCGCAGCGGUUAGCGCAGAGGACUCAUAAUCCUUUGGUCGUCAGUUCAAAUCUGACCAGGCCCACCA
rnacentral:tRNA from 3 species